rnacentral:rRNA from 1 species
AUUGAACGCUGGCGGCAUGCUUUACACAUGCAAGUCGAACGGCAGCGCGGGGCAACCUGGCGGCGAGUGGCGAACGGGUGAGUAAUACAUCGGAACGUACCCAGAAGUGGGGGAUAACGUAGCGAAAGUUACGCUAAUACCGCAUACGUUCUACGGAAGAAAGUGGGGGAUCUUCGGACCUCAUGCUUUUGGAGCGGCCGAUGUCUGAUUAGCUCGUUGGUGAGGUAAAGGCUCACCAAGGCGACGAUCAGUAGCUGGUCUGAGAGGACGACCAGCCACACUGGGACUGAGACACGGCCCAGACUCCUACGGGAGGCAGCAGUGGGGAAUUUUGGACAAUGGGCGCAAGCCUGAUCCAGCAAUGCCGCGUGAGUGAAGAAGGCCUUCGGGUUGUAAAGCUCUUUUGUCAGGGAAGAAACGGCUGGGGUUAAUACCCCUGGCUAAUGACGGUACCUGAAGAAUAAGCACCGGCUAACUACGUGCCAGCAGCCGCCGUAA